CCAAUAGCGUAUAUUAAAGUUGCUGCAGUUAAAAAGCUCGUAGUUGAAUUUCGGGACCAAUAUGUCGGUCGUGCUUCGGUACGUACUGUCAUAAUUGGUUUCUCCCUUCUGGAGAACCUUGAUGUCAUUAAUUUGGUGUCUUGGGGAAUCAGGACUGUUACUUUGAAAAAAUUAGAGUGUUUAAAGCAGGCUCGCGCUUGAAUACAUUAGCAUGGAAUAAUGAAAUAGGACGUUUGAUUCUAUUUUGUUGGUUUCUAGGAUCGACGUAAUGAUUAAUAGGGAUAGUUGGGGGCAUUAGUAUUCAAUUGUCAGGGUGAAAUUCUUGGAUUUAUUGAAGACUAACUACUGCGAAAGCAUUUGCCAAGGAUGUUUUCAUUAAUCAAGAACGAAAGUUAGGGGAUCGAAGACGAUCAGAUACCGUCGUAGUCUUAACCAUAAACUAUGCCGACUAGGGAUCGGAUGAUGUUAAUUUUUUUAAUGACUCAUUCGGCGCCUUUCGGCGCCUUACG
rnacentral:rRNA from 1 species